rfam:Gossypium hirsutum cultivar TM-1 chromosome 9, whole genome shotgun sequence
CACGUCAGCGCGAGAUGCUGACGUGGAAGGAAAUUGCUCUCUCAAGGACGCGAUUUCCUUCCACGUCAGCAUAUCGCGUUGACAUGG